AAAUACUAUCUCUACUCGCGAGAUCUUAUUCUUUCUACAUUCUCUUAUCAAAGUAUUGUACAAUGUUCUCUGCAAAUCGUAAAAAUUAAUUUUACGCCGGAUCUUAAAUCAGUGCUCAAUUAUGAAUGGUGAAUCUAUGAUCAGAGAAAUGAAGAAAGAAAAAAGAAGACAAUAAUUGAUGAACCCAUCACAAAAGAGAAAAUUAUUAUGAUUUACGUUUCCUAAAUCAUGUUCCAGAAAUUUUAAGAACCACUUUUAAUAAUCAAAUAUCUCAAACCAAAUCAAUGAAGAAACACAUUGAUUUUCUAUCCUUGUGAUGAAUAUGUUGCUUCAUUCUUCCUUAAAAUCUGUUACUAUUCUCAACCUCUUGAAAACCCAUGUUGAGAAAUAUGAAUCAAAAUUUAUACCUAACUGAUUAAUCUCGUAAGCCAAUUUCAACAGCAGCAGAAUCAGUUUUAUCACAGUCUUCGAUCUAAUCUCAGUUGAUAGUUGAUAUUAGGUUGAAACCCAAUUUCAAAUUUAUUCUGAAAAGGCUAUGUUAGUCAUUGGAACAGUUGGACAGGGAGAAGAACAUAUCCUCAGGAACAAAGAGUUUUCCUUUUACUUAUUUAUUUCGUUAAAUAAGAAUUCAACGAAAAGAUAAUAUAUUGUUAAAAUAUAAUCCACGUGGCGUCCUGUGAGUGGCCGGGACAGGGGCACAGGGGGAUUUCAGGGGACAGACGAUCUGCACCCGCUUUUGAUUUACUUCUCAACUUCUUUUCUGUCAGUGUUAUUCUUUUCGGUUCAUCCUUCUUCUAUGAUGUAGCUCCUCGAAUUAAGGGUCUUCAAGGAAGAGAAGCAGAUUGGGGUUGGUGGUUGAUCUCACCAGGCAGUUCCACUUUCUACUCAAUAAGAAUAACACUUUCACUGAGGAUGCACCUUUUGGAACUAUCGGUGAUAUGGCUAGCAUGAGGCCAACUUAGCGCUGACUUAUAGGAAAAUUAGGGGAUCGACAUGAGGCAGUAUAAGCAAUGACGAUGGGUGUCAGACGACUAACUUCCGUAGAAGGUAAUUUUCCUGCUGCCUCCUACAGGGAAUACAUUUCUUCAGAGGUGAAGAAUUUCGCUCGACGGUGUCAUGGUAACCUCCAACAUCUACAUCUGGAGAACGAAAACCUAGGUAUCAUAAUCGUAAAGUGAGUUGGAACGGCAUCAGUAUGCAACAAUCCAGCGAGGCAUAGUUUUUAAAAUCGUGCGAUUCGCUUCAAAUCGCAUGGAAGAAUUGAAUCUUCCCAGAAUCGUAUAGAUUCGGUAUUUUAUGCGAUUGUGACCUUGAAAUUCGUUUGACCACUCAAGUUUCUUCACUAUUUAAAAACAUACGCCCCAAGGAGUUUCGAACUACUAUCAUACCGCCUGUUGCCAUCUCACUGUAACCAAUUGUGCUGUGACUUGGCUUGGCGAUAAUGAGGAGAUUUUAAUUGAUUUAUCCACUUUCUCAUAAAACAUUUAAGCUUGAAUUUUAAUUCUUGUCAUUUCUCUUUUACUAAACGCAACAACAAUCAAGUUGCAGAUAGUAUUGUGAAUUCUGUGAGAGAGACAGCUAUGCAUGUUUAUCACACUAGUAAUUUCCCUGAAUAUCUUUGUAGCCUAUGGAAAAGGAUUUACACAAUCCUGUUACUUAAGCAAUAAAAUUUUACUUUAUUACAAAAAAAAAAAAAAAAAA